rnacentral:ncRNA from 1 species
GAGGUUCCGGUUCACGCCCGCAGUCCGCAGGCGACCCGGCGACC